AUGGAAUUCCUUGCUCCGGUCACGAGCAGAGAGAAAAAAGGAGGUUGGGGAGAGAAGAAAGGUGAACCAGUGGAACGAACGGCAUCAGAGGAUUUUUCUUACCAGCAGCGGGCUCUAGUGGGUCUCCGGCAAGGGCUGGCGGGGACGGAGAUGCUCGAGACUGCUGCUACUGCUUGGGUGGUCGGCGGCCAUGGCGCGAGGGAGACGAUCCUGAGUGGUCAUGGUCGAUCUGAAGGUGGCCGCGAGGAUGGGUCGAGAGGAGGAGAUUGGCUGGUUGGAAGAUCGGUGGAGGGCACUGGUUGGCUCCGGUGA
rnacentral:rRNA from 1 species